UUUUUAAAUUUUAAACAAAUUAAAAAAAUUGAUUACAUCAAAGAACUUUCCAAAUAUAUGUUUAUCAAAUAGUAUUUUCCCAAUGUUACUUCUCAAGUCAUUUUAAAUUGCAAAUUACCAAACAGUCUUUGCAUUUCACAUAACUCCUUUAGGCUAAGGGCCUUUACAUUAGCCAAAGGCUUUCCCCAAAAGUCAAAGCAAACGCACCCAUAAAUGGGUACUUGAAAUUGAGCUUUAUGCAGACCUUUUGCUUGAUUGUUGUUGCCCUGCUAUGUGACCCACCAUUUCGUGUAAAUCAGCGAUAUAGUCGUCGUCAUCAUGGCUGAAGCGCUCUUGGAGAUCCGGCCUCAUGAAGUCAAGUUUAUCUGUGAGUGUAUAUAGUGCUGUGCGUUUGGUUCAUUUUUAUUUUGGAGCUACAUUCAAUUUGCGUUGCUUGCCUCCUGUUUUACUAGGCAAUUAGUGAAGGGGAUGAUAUUUCUUUGUUCUACAAUAAUUUGCUUGAGAAUUUGUGGUUCAACAUCGUAAAUAAUGGUAAAAGAAAUAUCUUAAAUAAGAGCUUCAAUGGCGAGUAUGAAUCGGUUAUUAAUCGCCCUGUUUUUCAAAUUCUUUUCCUUGUGUUGUUUUCAAAUUUUUGGUUAGGUUCUUUCUUUUUGCAUAGUUUCUAUCCUCGCACCACAAACUCUUAGAGUGCCUUGUGAGGUGAAUUUCUUUCUGGAGAUAAAGUAAGUGAGUGUUGUAACCAAAUGACUGAGAAUGAUCGGUAGAGAAAACCAACACGCAAAAUGAGAUUUCGUUGCUGCAUUAUGUCUUCAAAGAAAAUGUAUGAUGGUCCAUUUCAUCACAUCCUACUCUAAUGUCGUGCCCCGUUAAGUUCUUUUAUCUGAAGCCUCUUCUCCAUGUUUAUGCAGUUGAGUUGAGUAAACAAAGCUCAUGCUUGAUUCCGCUACGCAACAAGACUGAUUGGUAUGUUGCUUUCAAGGUGAGGAUUUUUUGCACCUUUUCAUUCACCAUGAUCGUGCUUUACUUUUUUUUCAGGUAUGGUAGGCGAACAAUUUUCUUUCAAUUAUGUAUUCUCUUGAUGUAGUUUAACUUUCAGAGUAGGACAUCAAUGCAUUAAAAGCUCUCUACUAUGGAGAAACAUUAUGAGCUUUAUACUGGAUAUCCAAAACAUUCCAGGUUAAGUCUACAUCUUUGAAGAAAUACUGUGCACGACCAAAUGUAGGCAUCAUCAAGCCAAAUGGAGCAUCUGAUUCAAAAUUGUGCUGCUCAAGUCCAAGGAACAUCAUGUUCACAUACUUAUUAAAGCCACUAACAUACUUGUGAGGAGGGACACGCCUACAGUACCUAAAUUAGCUAAAUAAUUCUUUUGCAAUUUCUUUGCCAUGACAUGUCAAUUGGACUUUAUUAUUGUUGGGUUACAAACUACUUAAGGUAGAGUCAGUCUAAUUGCAGCAAGGAUCAUCUUUGAAUAAGAUUUUGAAUGCCUACCAUAGUAGCCUAAUAUACAUCGAGAUAAAGGAAAACCACGACAAGCCUCAGAAGCUAUGUCCCGAUACUUCAAAAGAAUUGGAGUAGGCCUUUCAUCCUAUCUUCUGUUUGAUGUAGUUACCAUGUAAGCACGACAGGUAGCUCCAACUAUCCUGUAGUGCAAAGAUAAGUUUUUGAUACAGGUGAAGAGGACUACUGACAUGGUAGGUUUUGCUGCUAUAUGCUCCAUAAUCUUCCAGGUCAAGUAACUCGAGAAAUUUUCUUUUAAAUUUUCAAAUUGAUAAAGAAAGUGGUAAAUACAUAGAUGAGAGGAAGAUAAAAGCAGUUCUAACCAGUCCAGUGGAAUCACUAUCAGUGCUGCCAGAUUAUGGAGACCGGAAGCAAGAUUCAUCUUCCAGACUACCAUCCCAAAGGAUAUCUCACCUGUUGGAGUCGAAAAUGCGUCACCUUUUCUCAAGAAGGAUUGUCUUUUGAUGCCAGGAUCCUGAAGGGUUGGACGUGUCAGAGGUUUUAAGGAGUUAAAAUCAACACUCAACGAGGUGAUACAAAGUUGAAAGAGGUUAGUUUUCUUCCCUUGGUUGAUUUGAAUUCAGGUCUACUUUCACCAGUCAAAUCACUGGGAGGACGGUUUCCCUUCCACUACACAAGCCACCCUUGAUUGCCCAUUUUAUACAGAUGAGGACAGGAGACAGAAGAGGGGAAGAAUUAUUAAAAGGAAGAAAAGAAAACUUAUAAAAGGCAUAGGUGUUGAGUUGGGAGAAUUGCAAAUUCAGUCAUAAAUUUAUUUGUAUGAAUAAUCAAAUAAUGGAAAACAUGUUUGCUCUCUCAUAUUCUUGGUUCACUGCUACUACUGACACAUUGGUUCUUAUGAAUAUCUGGUGCUGCAUGUAUUGAAGAUUACAUUUUUGUUUACUGAGUAAAAUGGCACGAAAUUGUUAUUGCCAAGUCAGAGUCACCCUACUAUCACCAGGGACUACUCGAGUUUGGUACUGCUGCUGCUACUGCUAUGUUAGUGUUGUGUCUUGGAGAGGUGGUUAGAGAUAAUUUAGGCUUGCUGACUUGGGGUCUUUCUUGUGAUUUCUCUCGGGUUGUCCGAGUCAUGGCAUAUCCCUUAGCUGAUAUUAUUGUGGUAUCUUUCGUUGUGAACUUGCACUGGAGUUUGAUUUUCUCAUUGUUGGGAUCCGUCAAAAGGAAGAUUCUGUCCUGUAAGAUACUUCCUCGAAGAUUAAGAUUUCACUGCCUUAAAUUAGUUUUUUUGUGUUACAAAACUCUUGAAAUAGUAUAUUUGUAUUAUAUUUACCUCCAAAUUAAUUUUUGUGUAACUAGCCUAACGUGACUCAUGAGAUUAUCUAUUUGGCCCUGUCCCCAACCAUGGGAAGAAAAAUACAGGAAUUUUGGAGAAAAAGAUGGGGUUUUUUUGAGCGAAACAUGUUAGCCAAUCUACAUAAGUUACAGUAGACCAAAAAAUUAGAGACUCUCCGAGAAGUUAUCAAAUGCGCCGUCGUUGCGGUGCUAGUUGGAGAUUAUCUCUUCAGAUCGGGCUGCCCUCGGGGGGAGAAGAGGCCGAUGGGCGAUCUUAAGAUUCUGUUUUCAUUCUUGCAUACAGUGAAAUCACUGCUGAAGGAUGAAAGGUAACAAAACUCGAUCAGAUUUUGCUUAACGGAAACAACAUAGCUAUUGUAAGAAACAACUUCUUCCUUCUGCUGGUAAUUAUAUUGCUAUAUGUUUGAGCCCUUGCCUUGAUAAGGGCAUGGUCUUGCCUAAAGUUUUGGUGAUCUAUCAACUAGUAAGCAAUUGCCUUAACCAAACAGAAACAAUCAGCCGCUCUGAGAGAUUCCUUCUGAUAAGACUCAAAAUGCUUAGACAAUGUAUUGAUGAAUCAUUACUGGUCUUGAUUUUGUGAUAAAAAGGUCAUCAUCGCCUAUUCUUUACAAUCUGGUCCUUUGUCUCAAUCAACCUUGUGUCCACCUCUUGAUAAAUAUAAAGCACAAGUGGUGUGGCAAUUAUGUUACCGAAAAGCUAGAAUUCUGCUUUCCAGUGCUUGAACCACUUAAGUGACGAUGCCUUGCUUUUUGUCUUAAUGCAGUUAGCUGGUGUCUCCCCUGAUCCAGAAUGAGUUGGGUUCAUCCUCUAACCCCAGUGGUUGAUUAUGUAGUUACUUUUAGUUGUUGGAAGCCCCAUCAGCAACAUCAUUUGAUUUUAUAACCCUCUUUUUAUGGGUUUAUGAAUCUGCAACCUUAGUCAAUUGAGCUCUUAUUUGAUUGAGCUCAUGUGUGAAUGUCUGAUGCAAUUAGCUCAACAGAUGGUGCAUGAUCACAUCAUCCUAUUAUCCAAUAUCUAUGUUUUGCUCAACUAGAGGGUGUGACAGUUGUUGUCAUGCUUGGUGCAUAUUGUUCCUAGGUUUCAUCUUCCAGUGCAUUGUUAUUGAAGAACCUAUCUUGGCUUGUUUUAGUGUUCUACAGUUUUUGGCCGUUGACUGCAUAAUAAUA